rnacentral:rRNA from 2 species
CUAAGAAUCUUCCGCAAUGGGCGAAAGCCUGACGGAGCGACGCCGCGUGAACGAUGAAGGCCGUGAGGUUGUAAAGUUCUUUUCGGGAGGAGGAAUAAGUGCGGCAGGCAAUGGCCGCGCGAUGACGUCAAUCCCGGAAUAAGCCCCGGCUAACUACGUGCCAGCAGCCGCGGUAACACGUAGGGGGCGAGCGUUGUUCGGAAUCAUUGGGCGUAAAGGGCGUGCAGGCGGCCCUGCAAGUCUGGCGUGAAAUGCCCCGGCUCAACCGGGGAGACGCGCUGGAAACUGCGGGGCUAGAGUACAGGAGGGGAUGCCGGAAUUCCAGGUGUAGGGGUGAAAUCUGUAGAUAUCUGGAAGAACACCAAUGGCGAAGGCAGGCAUCUGGCCAUGUACUGACGCUGAGACGCGAAGGUGCGGGGAGCAAACAGG